rfam:Myotis davidii contig213352, whole genome shotgun sequence.
GUAAAUAUAGUUUAACAAAAACAUUAGAUUGUGAAUCUAACAAUAGAAGCAUAAAAUUCUUAUUUACC